GACGAACGCUGGCGGCGUGCUUAACACAUGCAAGUCGAACGGUGAAAGCGGAGCUUGCUCCGCUGGAUCAGUGGCGAACGGGUGAGUAACACGUGGGCAACCUGCCCCUGACUUCGGGAUAACUCUUCGAAAGAGGUGCUAAUACCGGAUACGAAUCCUGCAGGCAUCUGCGGGAUUGGAAAGUUUUUCGGUCUGGGAUGGGCCCGCGGCCUAUGAGCUUGUUGGUGAGGUAGUGGCCCACCAAGGCGACGACGGGUAGCCGGCCUGGGAGGGCGACCGGCCACACUGGGACUGAGACACGGCCCAGACUCCUACGGGAGGCAGCAGUGGGGAAUAUUGCGCAAUGGGCGAAAGCCUGACGCAGCAACGCCGCGUGAGGGAUGACGGCCUUCGGGUUGUAAACCUCUUUCAGCAGGGAAGAAGCGAAAGUGACGGUACCUGCAGAAGAAGCACCGGCUAACUACGUGCCAGCCGCCGCGGUAA
rnacentral:rRNA from 1 species